AUUUCCCUUCUCACCAUUCAGAACCAUUACGUGUCAACUUCCUACAUCUCUGCACUGGAAAAUUUGUGGGCUGUCUCCAAACAGCCCUUGGAUUGUAAGUCAGACGGAGAAAAAUGUUCGGGUCCCUCAAGCAGAAGCUCUAAAUGGAGUCUGUUUGUCACCAGGUUUUCUCAAUGAGUAAAUGGAGAGGCAAUACCUAGAGCUGUCACAGGCAUCCUGCAGCCUUGAGGAUGAAAUUCACAUGCCGAGCAUGAAGGAGCCUGAAGAUGGGAGCCUGGAGCCCCAACGACAUUGUUGAGACAGUAUUCCAGUUCUCUGGCACCUUCCUCUCUACUUUUCACCCAAGGUCAAUUGCAGCCUGAAAAUAUUAAAUGGAAAAUUUCAGAAAUAAACAAUUCAUCAAUUUUUAAAUCAUAUGCUGUUCUGCAUUGUAUGAUGAAAUCUCAUGCUGUCUGGCUCCAUCCCUCCUGUGACAACGAUCAGAACGACUGUCAAGGUCGGACUGCACCACCUGAGCAUGUAGGAUCCUCCGGUGAGAGCUUGGAUCAGGUUGUAAAAUUCACUUCAGACUUUCAUGUGUCUGUUUAUCGUUGUACAACUGGGUUUCUCCAAGCCUGCUGAUAACAGAGAAGUCCUCGGAAUCAUAAUAACCCAGUAACAACUUAAUAACUGCACCUCCAAGGCCUCCAUGUGUCGGGGAGUCGGGUGCCUGCGGCAGCUCACACCUUCCCACCUAAGUCCUUAUGUUCUCCUCCUGCCCUUCUUCUCCAUCUGCUUGGGAAUCCACUGGGGCCUGUGGGUCACCAUCACCACGGAGUCCCAUGGCAGUGGCAGGUGGGAAUCAAGGAGCAGUCUACACACCCCCAAGCCCUCCAAGAGACUUACGAAGAAGGAGGGCAAAAGAAUGGCACCUUGUGUGUGUUUGCGUCUGGAUGGUAGACCCCUGCUGUGCUUCCUUCCCUCAAGAACACAGUUGCAGGUGCCAAGCAUCAGAGCCUAGAGCUGCAAAGCAGUAUUUGGUUUCCAGGAGACCUUAUCUAAUAGGGCCCUGGCGUGGUCCAUGUAGAACUACAGAGAACACCGUACCUGGAGUUACCUUUAUUACCUGCCCUCAGAAAUAGCUUCUGAACCCUUUUCCCAGUUUCUCCUCAGAGUCCCUUUCUCCACAAGACUUGGACCCAGAACCGUGGAGGUGGCUCCAGGACUGAAAAUGUGACAUUGACACCAUGUUCUCCUCCAAGAGGAAUGGGAGCCCUCUCCCCAUUGUUCUCAGUAAAAGUUCUCCUCCUGUAGGUCAUCUCCUAGCAGGCCGUCCCUCCACUCUGUCAGACAUGACCCUGAGGGCUGGGUCCCACCUCAGCCUCAAUCUGGGAUCCCUGCUCCCAGCCACAAAUGAACCCGUAACCAUCAGCCAGGCAUUUGUCUACCCUGGACCUCUUGGUUCUUCAUCUGUACAAUGUGACACACCCUUUCCAUGUCAGUUAGGAGACUUAGAAGACACCAUCAAUGACCAAGAACUUUAAAAGAGCUUUGUCCUGAGUCAGAGAAAACCAGGAGUCAAGGGCAUUUUUUUUUUUUUCUUUUAGCCCAGCAUGGCAGACUGGCAGGAUGGGUUGGCUUCCUUCCCCUAAUUCAACCUAGCUGGCCUAGCUGAGUCUUGUUAAAGAACAGAUUACCCUUAUAUGAUUUAUUUAUAAAGUUUUUUAGUAUCUUGCCAAGCGACUUUAUCAAGUGUCACCAUAUUGGGGUUGAGGGGACAACGGUGCCUGGGAAAGGUAGGUGAGUAUAUGGGGAGAAAGAGAGUG